rnacentral:rRNA from 1 species
UACGUAGGGGGCAAGCGUUGUCCGGAUUUACUGGGCGUAAAGAGCGUGUAGGCGGCCACGCAGGUCCGUUGUGAAAACUGGAGGCUCAACCUCCAGACGUCGACGGAAACCGUAUGGCUAGAGUCCGGAAGAGGAGAGUGGAAUUCCUGGUGUAGCGGUGAAAUGCGCAGAUAUCAGGAAGAACACCCGUGGCGAAGGCGGCACUCUGGG